rnacentral:rRNA from 1 species
AGUCCUGCUAUCGGGGUUCGAUUAGCCAUGCGAGUCGAGAGGGUUCGGCCCUCGGCAUACUGCUCAGUAACACGUGGAUAACCUGCCCUAAGGUGGAGCAUAACCCCGGGAAACUGGGGAUAAUACUCCAUAGGCUACCGAGGCUGGAAUGCGCGGUAACCGAAAGUUCCGGCGCCUUAGGAUGGAUCUGCGGCCGAUUAGGUUGUUGUUGGGGUAAUGGCCCAACAAGCCCGUAAUCGGUACGGGUUGUGGGAGCAAGAGCCCGGAGAUGGACUCUGAGACACGAGUCCAGGCCCUACGGGGCGCAGCAGGCGCGAAAACUUUACAAUGCGGGAAACCGUGAUAAGGGAACCCCGAGUGCCCGUAUACGCGGGCUGUCCAGGUGUAUAAAAAGCAUCUGAAGAAAGGGCCGGGCAAGACCGGUGCCAGCCGCCGCGGUAAUACCGGCGGCUCGAGUGGUGGCCACUUUUAUUGGGCUUAAAGCGUUCGUAGCUUGGUUGUUAAGUCUCUUGGGAAAUCUCACGGCUCAACCGUGAGGCGUCUAAGGGAUACUGGCAACCUAGGGACCGGAAGAGGUGAGAGGUACUCCAGGGGUAGGAGUGAAAUCCUGUAAUCCUUGGGGGACCACCUGUGGCGAAGGCGUCUCACCAGGACGGCUCCGACAGUGAGGGACGAAAGCUGGGGGAGCAAACCGGAUUAGAUACCCGGGUAGUCCCAGCCGUAAACGAUGCGCGUUAGGUGUAUCGGUGACCACGAGUCACCGAGGUGCCGAAAGG